rnacentral:lncRNA from 1 species
AAUGUAAUCAGAGGAGUCCUUACGAAGAGAGAGGCAGAGAGUCAGAGCUGGAGACCAGCAUGUGAGAACGGAAGCAGAAGCUGAAGUGCUGGGGGGCCACGAGCUGAGGAAUGCAAGGAGCUUGUAGAAGCUGGAAAAGGCUAGGAACGGAUUCUUCUCUAGAGUGUCCAGAAGGAACACAACUCUGCCAUCACCUUGUUUUAAGUCGAGUGAGACUGAUUUUGGCCUACUGACCUCCAAAACUAUUCUGCAGAGCGUCCACCCAAGAGGCCAGCCAGCUGUUACCCAUCCCUUCCGAGACGGUUGUUUUUCUGAAUUGAGGCACUUACCACAGUAUUCUGCAAAUCAAAAGUUUCAAGUGAUAUCCACACAAGGGAAUGAAAUGAGCUAAUUAAGGCAAG